GACGAACGCUGGCGGCGUGCCUAAUACAGGCAAGUAGAACGCUGAAGGAGGAGCUUGGUUCUCUGGAUGAGUUGCGAACGGGUGAGUAACGCGUAGGUAACCUGCGUGGUAGCGGGGGAGAACUAUUGGAAACGAUAGCUAAUACCGCAUAACAGUAGAUAUCGCAUGAUAUCUACUUGAAAGGUGCAAUUGCAUCACUACCAUAUGGACCUGCGUUGUAUUAGCUAGUUGGUGAGGUAACGGCUCACCAAGGCGACGAUACAUAACAGACCUGAGAGGGUGAUCUGCCAAACUGGGACUGAGACACGGCCCAUGCUCCUACGGGAGGCAGCAGUAGGGAAUCUUCGGAGAUGGACGGAAGUCUGCCAGAGCAACGCCGCGUGAGUGAAGAAGGGCAUCGGAUCGUAAAGCUCUGUUGUAAGAGAAGGACGAAUGUGAGGGUGGAAAGUUCCCACUGUGUCGGUCUCUUACCAGAGAGGCACGGCUAACUACGUG
rnacentral:rRNA from 1 species